rnacentral:rRNA from 1 species
GGGUUGUGAGGUUAAGCGACUAAGCGUACACGGUGGAUGCCCUGGCAGUCAGAGGCGAUGAAGGGCGUGCUAAUCUGCGAUAAGCGCCGGUAAGGUGAUAUGAACCGUUAUAACCGGCGAUACCCGAAUGGGGAAACCCAGUGUGACUCGUCACACUAUCAUUAACUGAAUCCAUAGGUUAAUGAGGCGAACCGGGGGAACUGAAACAUCUAAGUACCCCGAGGAAAAGAAAUCAACCGAGAUUCCCCCAGUAGCGGCGAGCGAACGGGGAGGAGCCCAGAGCCUGAAUCAGCAUGUGUGUUAGUGGAAGCGUCUGGAAAGGCGCGCGAUACAGGGUGACAGCCCCGUACACAAAAGCGCAUGUGCUGUGAGCUCGAUGAGUAGGGCGGGACACGUGGUAUCCUGUCUGAAUAUGGGGGACCAUCCUCCAAGGCUAAAUACUCCUGACUGACCGAUAGUGAACCAGUACCGUGAGGGAAAGGCGAAAAGAACCCCGGCGAGGGGAGUGAAAAAGAACCUGAAACCGUGUACGUACAAGCAGUGGGAGCACAGGUUUACCUGUGUGACUGCGUACCUUUUGUAUAAUGGGUCAGCGACUUAUAUUCUGUAGCAAGGUUAACCGAAUAGGGGAGCCGGAGGGAAACCGAGUCUUAAUUGGGCGUUAAGUUGCAGGGUAUAGACCCGAAACCCGGUGAUCUAGCCAUGGGCAGGUUGAAGGUUGGGUAACACUAACUGGAGGACCGAACCGACUAAUGUUGAAAAAUUAGCGGAUGACCUGUGGCUGGGGGUGAAAGGCCAAUCAAACCGGGAGAUAGCUGGUUCUCCCCGAAAGCUAUUUAGGUAGCGCCUCGUGAAUUCAUCUCCGGGGGUAGAGCACUGUUUCGGCUAGGGGGCCAUCCCGGCUUACCAACCCGAUGCAAACUGCGAAUACCGGAGAAUGUUAUCACGGGAGACACACGGCGGGUGCUAACGUCCGUCGUGAAGAGGGAAACAACCCAGACCGCCAGCUAAGGUCCCAAAGUCAUGGUUAAGUGGGAAACGAUGUGGGAAGGCCCAGACAGCCAGGAUGUUGGCUUAGAAGCAGCCAUCAUUUAAAGAAAGCGUAAUAGCUCACUGGUCGAGUCGGCCUGCGCGGAAGAUGUAACGGGGCUAAACCAUGCACCGAAGCUGCGGCAGCGACACUGUGUGUUGUUGGGUAGGGGAGCGUUCUGUAAGCCUGUGAAGGUGUGUCGUGAGGCAUGCUGGAGGUAUCAGAAGUGCGAAUGCUGACAUAAGUAACGAUAAAGCGGGUGAAAAGCCCGCUCGCCGGAAGACCAAGGGUUCCUGUCCAACGUUAAUCGGGGCAGGGUGAGUCGACCCCUAAGGCGAGGCCGAAAGGCGUAGUCGAUGGGAAACAGGUUAAUAUUCCUGUACUUGGUGUUACUGCGAAGGGGGACGGAGAAGGCUAUGUUGGCCGGGCGACGGUUGUCCCGGUUUAAGCGUGUAGGUGUGUGUUCCAGGUAAAUCCGGUUCACUUUAACACUGAGGCGUGAUGACGAGGCACUACGGUGCUGAAGCAACAAAUGCCCUGCUUCCAGGAAAAGCCUCUAAGCAUCAGGUAACAUCAAAUCGUACCCCAAACCGACACAGGUGGUCAGGUAGAGAAUACCAAGGCGCUUGAGAGAACUCGGGUGAAGGAACUAGGCAAAAUGGUGCCGUAACUUCGGGAGAAGGCACGCUGACACGUAGGUGAAGUGAUUUACUCAUGGAGCUGAAGUCAGUCGAAGAUACCAGCUGGCUGCAACUGUUUAUUAAAAACACAGCACUGUGCAAACACGAAAGUGGACGUAUACGGUGUGACGCCUGCCCGGUGCCGGAAGGUUAAUUGAUGGGGUCAGCGCAAGCGAAGCUCCUGAUCGAAGCCCCGGUAAACGGCGGCCGUAACUAUAACGGUCCUAAGGUAGCGAAAUUCCUUGUCGGGUAAGUUCCGACCUGCACGAAUGGCGUAAUGAUGGCCAGGCUGUCUCCACCCGAGACUCAGUGAAAUUGAACUCGCUGUGAAGAUGCAGUGUACCCGCGGCAAGACGGAAAGACCCCGUGAACCUUUACUAUAGCUUGACACUGAACAUUGAGCCUUGAUGUGUAGGAUAGGUGGGAGGCUUUGAAGCGUGGACGCCAGUCUGCGUGGAGCCGACCUUGAAAUACCACCCUUUAAUGUUUGAUGUUCUAACGUGGACCCGUAAUCCGGGUUGCGGACAGUGUCUGGUGGGUAGUUUGACUGGGGCGGUCUCCUCCUAAAGAGUAACGGAGGAGCACGAAGGUUGGCUAAUCCUGGUCGGACAUCAGGAGGUUAGUGCAAUGGCAUAAGCCAGCUUGACUGCGAGCGUGACGGCGCGAGCAGGUGCGAAAGCAGGUCAUAGUGAUCCGGUGGUUCUGAAUGGAAGGGCCAUCGCUCAACGGAUAAAAGGUACUCCGGGGAUAACAGGCUGAUACCGCCCAAGAGUUCAUAUCGACGGCGGUGUUUGGCACCUCGAUGUCGGCUCAUCACAUCCUGGGGCUGAAGUAGGUCCCAAGGGUAUGGCUGUUCGCCAUUUAAAGUGGUACGCGAGCUGGGUUUAGAACGUCGUGAGACAGUUCGGUCCCUAUCUGCCGUGGGCGCUGGAGAACUGAGGGGGCUGCUCCUAGUACGAGAGGACCGGAGUGGACGCAUCACUGGUGUUCGGGUUGUCAUGCCAAUGGCACUGCCCGGUAGCUAAAUGCGGAAGAGAUAAGUGCUGAAAGCAUCUAAGCACGAAACUUGCCCCGAGAUGAGUUCUCCCUGAGACUUAGAGUCUCCUGAAGGAACGUUGAAGACGACGACGUUGAUAGGCCGGGUGUGUAAGCGCAGCGAUGCGUUGAGCUAACCGGUACUAAUGAACCGUGAGGCUUAACCUUACAACGCCGAAGCUGUU